GGAGACGUGGCUGAGUGGCUGAAGGCGGCGGUUUGCUAAAUCGUUGUAGACUUAUCCUCUAUCACAGGUUCGAAUCCUGUCGUCUCCGCCA
rnacentral:tRNA from 1 species